GUCCACUGCCUUUGAGCACCAAAGGGCAUUGCAGAUACAUGAAAUCUUGCAACCGUGGUAGGAAACAUGUCCACAGCUUCUUGCUUCUUAUCAUCUUGAGGCUAAUGCAUAACAGCAUUGUAAUAUAAAAAUUUUCAUUUGGAUUGGACCAACUUAAGGUUUGAACAAAUGAUUUGGUCCCACUCAUGGUGAAGACUUCUUCAGUGAUCUUACAAAGUUGGAAUAAAUGGGCUACAAUGACAACUAUUCUUGCCUUGAGCAUUUACUAAUUUGAGGAGGUUCUCUUGCACUUCUACAAGUGAGUUGCUUUGUUAGAUGCUGACGAGGGGAGACUAUUUCUUUUGUCCUCAUUAGUGGCCUUAAGGACAUGAUACAGUUUGAACUGCACUCAUCCAAACCAAAUUUAUCUCUAGUUGACUAAAAUUAGUCAAAAUU
rnacentral:misc_RNA from 1 species